UACAGGGGGAGCAAGCGUUGUUCGGAUUUACUGGGCGUAAAGGGCGCGUAGGCGGCCACCGCAAGUCGAUUGUGAAAUCUCCGGGCUUAACCCGGAAAGGUCAACCGAUACUGCGGGGCUAGAGUGCAGAAGGGGCAACUGGAAUUCUCGGUGUAGCGGUGAAAUGCGUAGAUAUCGAGAGGAACACCUGCGGCGAAGGCGGGUUGCUGGGCUGACACUGACGCUGAGGCGCGAAAGCUAGGGGAGCGAACGGG
rnacentral:rRNA from 1 species